ACUUAAGACAACUUUGAGUUUCCUUCUCCACAGGAGAAUGAAGUUCCAUUCUGGGUUCUGAGAAAUUCCUAAAGAAUAUUUUCAUUUCCCAUUUAACUGAGUGAUUGCUACUUUCACCUACCCACUAACACAAGUCCUGAAUAGCAGGAAAAGCGUGGGGAGAAUAAAGUGCUGUAGAGUUCUGCUCAAUUCAGUGAACUCACAGAGCCAGGAAUUGUGCCAGACACUUCAAGGAAUAAAAUGAUGAUCAGAUCUGUUCCCAGUUCCACACUUGUCUACCCAGCUGCCUCCUCGACGUCUACGCUUGGAUGGCAAAUGGACUUCGCAAUGUGUUCAAAUCAGAGCUCCCAACAUGCUCCCCUGAAGCUGUUCUUCCCUUGAC
ensembl:lncRNA